rnacentral:rRNA from 1 species
GAAUUCGCCCUUAGAGUUUGAUCCUGGCUCAGGACGAACGCUGGCGGCGCGCCUAACACAUGCAAGUCGAACGAGCGAGAGAGAGCUUGCUUUCUCGAGCGAGUGGCGAACGGGUGAGUAACGCGUGAGGAACCAGCCUCAAAGAGGGGGACAACAGUUGGAAACGACUGCUAAUACCGCAUAAGCCCACGGUGCCGCAUGGCACAGAGGGAAAAGGAGCAAUCCGCUUUGAGAUGGCCUCGCGUCCGAUUAGCUAGUUGGUGAGGUAAUGGCCCACCAAGGCGACGAUCGGUAGCCGGACUGAGAGGUUGAACGGCCACAUUGGGACUGAGACACGGCCCAGACUCCUACGGGAGGCAGCAGUGGGGAAUAUUGCACAAUGGGGGAAACCCUGAUGCAGCGACGCCGCGUGGAGGAAGAAGGUCUUCGGAUUGUAAACUCCUGUUGUUGGGGAAGAUAAUGACGGUACCCAACAAGGAAGUGACGGCUAACUACGUGCCAGCAGCCGCGGUAAAACGUAGGUCACAAGCGUUGUCCGGAAUUACUGGGUGUAAAGGGAGCGCAGGCGGGAAGACAAGUUGGAAGUGAAAUCUACGGGCUCAACCCAUAAACUGCUUUCAAAACUGUUUUUCUUGAGUAGUGCAGAGGUAGGCGGAAUUCCCGGUGUAGCGGUGGAAUGCGUAGAUAUCGGGAGGAACACCAGUGGCGAAGGCGGCCUACUGGGCACCAACUGACGCUGAGGCUCGAAAGUGUGGGUAGCAAACAGGAUUAGAUACCCUGGUAGUCCACACCGUAAACGAUGAUUACUAGGUGUUGGAGGAUUGACCCCUUCAGUGCCGCAGUUAACACAAUAAGUAAUCCACCUGGGGAGUACGACCGCAAGGUUGAAACUCAAAGGAAUUGACGGGGGCCCGCACAAGCAGUGGAGUAUGUGGUUUAAUUCGACGCAACGCGAAGAACCUUACCAAGUCUUGACAUCCCUUGACAGACAUAGAAAUAUGUAAUCUCUUCGGAGCAAGGAGACAGGUGGUGCAUGGUUGUCGUCAGCUCGUGUCGUGAGAUGUUGGGUUAAGUCCCGCAACGAGCGCAACCCUUAUGGUCAGUUACUACGCAAGAGGACUCUGGCCAGACUGCCGUUGACAAAACGGAGGAAGGUGGGGAUGACGUCAAAUCAUCAUGCCCUUUAUGACUUGGGCUACACACGUACUACAAUGGCGUUAAACAAAGAGAAGCAAGACCGCGAGGUGGAGCAAAACUCAGAAACAACGUCCCAGUUCGGACUGCAGGCUGCAACUCGCCUGCACGAAGUCGGAAUUGCUAGUAAUCGUGGAUCAGCAUGCCACGGUGAAUACGUUCCCGGGCCUUGUACUCACCGCCCGUCA